rnacentral:misc_RNA from 1 species
UGCCUGUUCGAGCGUCAUUUACACCACUCAAGCCUGGCUUGGUAUUGGGGCCCGCCUACCAGCGGCCCCUAAACACAGUGGCAGCGCCAGUCGGCUCUUCGCGUAGUAAUUCUCUCGCGAUAGGGUCCGCUGGUAGCUUGCCAGCAACCUCUAUUUUCUAGGUUGACCUCGGAUCAGGUAGGGAUACCCGCUGAACUUAA